GGGCCCCCGUUCGGAGGUAACCGCGUUAUAGUAACCGCUAAACGACCGCAACGGUUACCACGGAUUUUUAUCGAACGCGACAGACGCCAAUCGCGAUUCUUUGACAAUUUGAAUAUUCACCAAACGGCUUGCAUUCCGCAAUAAUAACAAACCGGCGGACGAUAGACUUUUGUCAAUUGAUUUUUUUCUUUUCUCUCUAAAUCAUAAACUUAAAACUACCGUCGAUUCGACAUUAACACAACACGAGACGGACAGCAUAAGUGUUUCAAUGUGUAUUUUAUCUUACCACUGUACAUAAUAAUCAUGUAGUACCACGAAUUGUUCACAAUACAUCCAAGUUGGAGUGCAUCAAGAAGAAACAGCCUGCGUUUGAUUAAAUGUUGGAAGCCGGGAGUCCGAGAAAAUGGCAUAGCCCACAUAAGCAGGCUGUGUGACAAAUCCAAAACAUAUACACUGUUAUUUACAUUCUGAUUGUCUCAUACAACAUAUUAUCCGGCUGAAGCGGAUCUUCGUCAGUACAUUGUUGAAUUUCGCGAGGUCGACAAAUGACUGCACUUACAACAGUCGAGAUGGAAAAUCAAUUUUAAAUUUGAACAUGAAAAUUAAGAAAAAAAUCCGUUCAACUGGUGAUGCAACCGGUGCUUACAAGAAAUGGAAACACUAAGGUGGACGUCGUAAAAACUUCAUGCUAGGCACUAUAGUCACCACUUCAGACGUUUUGUUAAAUCAUACCUUGCACAACAGCUAACCCACCAACAAUCAUUACUCCGACAAUUAGAUAUUGCCACAGCAACCGAUUAUAACACAUUGAACACUGAAUACCAACUUAACUGAACACUAACAUGCUAAAAACCUAAAAGCAUCCAAACGCAACAAUGGGAAUUGUCACAUAAUUCUUAACUCCUUCCUCAACAAAAUACCAAUAUGCUCAGCGAUACUGGGACCCGCAGACAACAACGGUGAUUUAUUAAACUUAACGGACGGUCACUAACUCAUUUGUACCAAACGACAUACGACUCGGAAGCUCAUGACCCAACUUUUGACGCAGCUUUAACAGUGUGCAUAUUCAAUCACUUGUUUUACGCACCGGACUUGACAAAAUAGAAUCUUACCUCGAUACAUAUAAAUAAAAGGAAGUUAUAAUGGAAAAAAUAAGGGCUGUGUUUUUGGUGAAGUAGAAUUUUAGUAUAUAUUUUUGUUAUUAAAAUAAAUAAAUAAUGUUUUAAGUUUAAGGGGAAAUAUAGUAUUAAGAAAACACGGGGUUAACUUUUAUUAUAAAUUUGUUAAAUUAAUAAACUAUUUAACAUAACCAACGUGGUGUCGACUACAUUAAUUACGAUAUCCUAUUACCGUAGGUUAUAUUAUUACAAUGCAAGUGUAGGUGGACGGUUAGAGACAGCUUGCUAACAACUCUAAACCAAGGUAAGACUAACUCGAGAAACUGUGGCCACUGGAACUAACCGGGGUAAAAAAAAAACAAACAAACAUUAAAGGCUAAUACUCACUUCCUACAACGAAAAGAAAAAAAAAUUCGAUUUCCUUUUUAUUUUCUACUUUGAAAACAAAUAGAGAAUACAUUAAAAUACAAAAUUAUGAUACAGACUGUAUAUUAAAAAUAUAGACAAUAAACGUAAAAUACAACAAAGAAACAAACAUUGAAUGUUAUAUUUUAAACAAUCCUAGAGUAUUUAGCAAACAGGGAAGUUGGACAACUUUCAAAAAUCUUACUUCUUCGUCAUCGACCUGGAAUUUCAUGAACCUAAACCCUGAAAAAAGAGUACUCGUCUCUGGAGCAGAGUUGGAAGUAAUUAAGUACAUUUGUACUUAAGUACUUAAGUAAAAGUAUGAAAGUUCCACUUCUGGAACAUCAGUAAAAGGUCGGGAAAGCAAAUGCAGUGAGUUAAGAGACUCGAGUACUUCAAAAGUAAUUGCAAGUACAAUUACAUGUACUUGUAGUUCCACUUCUAGCGAGAACACGUAUAAGUACAAAUACUUUGAAUAGGAAUAUAAAAGUAAAAAAAUAACGAGUACAAAUAUUGUAAAUAUCCAAUAGAUUUAAAUUAAUUAUAAAUUAUUCCUAUAGUAAGAAUAUAUAAGUUAACACAUUAAUUUAAUUAAUUCAAUUGUACCCAUAUAAA